ensembl:lncRNA
CCUUCCCAAACCACCUCGUGCCAUGUUUCAUCAUAGCUCAGUUUCAUCAAGGCUUAAACCACUGUUAGUUUGAUUUCCAUCACCUGUAAUUGAAAAUUUUAUACCAUUCACCUGGUCACCAGGCUAGAGUGCAAAGAUCAUCAUCGUUGAGACAAAUGUUUGCAGGUGGAUAGACGAUAGCUACAAAAUGAUGGCAACCAUAAUCUGCUAUGAUGGGAAGCAAUCUUUCAGACUGCCUACACUCUGUCGAUCCUGCCAAUGAAGAAAUGGGGAACCAAGUGGGGGCACCUUGGCUCAGCUAACAUCACACAUUGAUGUGGUGUUUGAAUGAAGAGGAGCCCUUAGAUCCUGACUUCCAAUAAACCUGACCACCUAUCAUGCCCAGUGCUGUUAAGCCUUUUUCUGGCUUGUUUUAAUAUUGUUGCUAUGGUGUAACUUAGGUUUACCUUCCCCAUUGCCAUUCAUCUCUGAACCAAGUUAAAAUACUUUACCAGAGUACAAUUUCACAGUGAAGAGGGAAAUUAAAUAACGGUAGAUGCCGACAGAAAAACAUGAACCCAAACCUAGUUUGGAACGGGCGCUUUAGACUCAUUACCCACAGACCCACACAUACCCCACAGCUCUGUGUAUCACAACACUUGCGUUGUUUCCAGGCAGGAUCAUUUUGUCUCUGUGUUAAGAAAGCCAGAACCGGGAACAGUGUGCACUGCAAUAGGGGACCUUGUCUGGGGCAAAUAUCCUCCCCCUUUGCCGUACACCUGGGGCUCAUUGAAACCUUGAUGGCGAAACCUCACUUCCACGUGGCUCCUUCUCCAUAGCAGCUGACUUGUGCUGAAAUCGAGUUUCUUGUUCUGCCGUUCCCAUACGAAUGUUGGCAAGAGGCAUUCAGGCCGCAGCACACCAGAGUCCCCCAGGGCCCCCGUCGAGGACAUAUGAGUAUCUAGACACACUCGGUUUCAGGCUGCCUGGCAGCAGCAGCACAAUCCCCCGACGAGCCCUCAGACAUUUUUCUCCUUCCUUCUGAGGCUCCUCUUGGAAAGAGCCAGCACAGUAGAUCAUGCUGGGUGACUUCCCCAGAUACAGCUGCCGAACACAGACUUAUGCUCUGCAGACAUAACAGCAUUUUUCCAAGAAAGGAAGAGAAAAAUGACUUCAGUUUCUGUACCUUAGGAACAGCGAGACAGGAUUUGUGGGUCUUCUUGUCUCUUAAAGGAGGCAACGGGGAUUCCUGAAAUGGAAAUAAAGAGCCUGCUGUUUGACCUGGAGCUCUGAAGACCCACUUUUAAACUAUAUGUGGUUGAUGGGGAAAGCAACAGGUGAAGCCCUGACACAGUGCUCGGCAAUUAGAACUCGAACUGCUCCCUGGAGAACCCAGCAUGGGUCUGUUGGCUCCAGGACCGACUGAAGAAAGAAGAUGGCAAGAUGGGGUUCUGGAGAUGGACCACACACUCAUCACCUGGUUGUCAGUGAAGAUCCAGUUGCUGUUCGUCAGUAAAGUAUGUAGUCCUUGGCACAACGUGACUGUCCAGUUGUUAAACGGACACUUGGAGCUGAACUGGGAAGCUAUAUGGGCAGAAAGGCAUGCAGUAAUGGUCUUUAUAUCAGAUUUUUGAAAACUACGUGGGGAAAAAAACUAAGUGCAGUAG